rnacentral:lncRNA from 1 species
UUUCGUCAGAGGAUUCUCGAUUCGUCGUCAAACUGAAGCUUCGAAUGCAUCGAGAUUCAAAUUGGUAGAGAAAGGAUCAUUAUGUUCAAUGUAGCCCUCUUCCAAUAUAUAUCACUGAUUUCAAAUUUGUACAAAUCUGUGGAGUCUUGCCAUUUGCAGGCUACCAUUCCAUCAAAUGAAUUUGAGCUUUUAUCCAAUUACUUGCACUCUUAUUUGUUUCAAUUCAACAAAUGUU